GUGCCAGAGUGCGCGCUGGGCGUUGGUCAAUUCAAUAUGGAGUGCCAGAGUGCGCGCUGGUCAAUUCAAUAUGGAGUGCCAGAGUGCGCGCUGGGCGCUGGUCAAUUCAAUAUGGAGUGCCAGAGUGCGCGCUGGGCGCUGGUCAAUUCAGAGCGUUUCGCUCCCACUAGAGACGCUCUGGCCGAAGAGUAGCAUUGACCGGAGCUUUCUGACCUCACAACGGUAGUAAAGCGCCCAAGCUAACUGGCUAACUUUCUAGCUACUUCCAGACACAAAUGAGACAACACCUCACUCUGACCAUUUUACUCUCCCUAGCAGAGCUGGUUAGGCUGUUUUCAUGUUGUCCAGAGCGUUGCUGAGGUAAGUGUUGGCAACAACAAUAACUACGCUUUUUUUGCCGGACUUUACCGACACCGGUCAUAUUCAAAGCGUUCRUAAAUUCAUCAGUUCAUCAGUCAGAGGACAGUGCUCUGAAAUAGGAGUAGAUAGCCAGAGUGAUUUUACAAAACGCACUGUUAAUGUGACAUUCAGGUGUCUAUCUGAACAAACCUAAUGCAAUGGUAAAUCUCAGCGCUGGCGGUAGCGUUAUAGGUUCAGGAGUGUCCUUAAUAUUUGUGUAUAUUUUCACAACCUGAAAGAGCUGGGUUUUGCAUUAAAUAGGCGCAAUAUUUUGAAUGAUGCAUUUGGCGAUGUUCAAUUCAUUCGUACAUAAGGUAAACCAAAUCAUUCACUGGGGAAGUUGAUACAUGUAGGCUCUUCAUAUAUAGGCCAUGCCCAGCACUUUGUUCAAUUCAUCAAAUCAGUUAGUUUUCUUGCUCAAACAGUGAGCAACAAAACACCUGUUAAACUCAGACAUUUCUCUAAAAAGGAUGCCGAUUCGCACGGGACUAGUAGCAGCUGGUGGUGUAAAGUACGUAAGUAGAAAUACUUUUAGGUACUACUUAAUCGUUUUUUCGGGUAUCUGUACUUUACUAUUUAUAUUUUUGACAACUUUUACAAUUACUUCACUACAUUCCUAAAGAAAAUGUGGUACUUUUUUUUACUCCAUUCAUUUUCCAUGACACGUAAAAGUAUCUUUACAUUUAGAAUGCUUAGCAGGAAAGGAAAAUGGUCCCAUUCACACACUUAUCAAGACAACAUCCCUGGUCAUCCCUACUGCCUCUGAUCUGGAGGACUCACUAAACAGAGAACAUCCCUGGUCAUCCCUACUGCCUCUGAUCUGGAGGACUCACUAAACAGAGAACAUCCCUGGUCAUCACUACUGCCUCUGAUCUGGAGGACUCACUAAACAGAGAACAUCCCUUGGUUCAUCUCUACUGCCUCUGAUCUGGACAGGGACUCACUAAACGAGAGAACAUCCCUGGUCAUCACUACUGCCUCUGAUCUGGAGAGGACUCACUAAAACGAGAACAUCCCUGGUCAUCCUACUGCCUCUGAUCUGGAGGACACUCUAAACAGAGAACAUCCCUGGUCAUCCCUACUGCCUCUGAUCUGGAGGACUCACUAAACAGGAAACAUCCCUGGUCAUCACUACUGCCUCUGAUCUGG
ensembl:lncRNA